UUGCUUUGGCAAUGUUAACACAUGUUUCCCAUGCCAAUAAAGCCCUUGAAUUGAAAUUGAAUUGAGAGACCAGAGAUAGUGAGACCAGAGAGAAGAGAGAGAGAGAGAGACCAGAGAGUAAGAGAGAGACCAGAGAGAGAGACCAGAGAAAGAGAGAGACCAGAGAUAGUGAGACCAGAGAAAGAGAGCGAGAGAGACCAGAGAGACUAGAGAGAGAGACCAGAGAGACUAGAGAGAGAGACCAGAGAGACUAGAGAGAGAGAGAGAGUGAGAGAGAGACCAGAGACCAGAGAGCGAGAGAGAAACCAGAGAAAGAGAGAGAGACAGCGAGAGAGACCAGAGAGACUAGAGAGAGAGAGACCAGAGAGACUAGAGAGAGAGAGACCAGAGAGACUAGAGAGAGGGAGACCAGAGAGACCAGAGAGAGAGAGAGAAAGAGAGCGAGAGAGAUAGAGAGCGGAGAGAGACCAGAGUUGGAGAGAGAUGCAGAAAAAGCAAAGGGAGAGAGGGGUAGAGAGAGAGAUCGGAGAGAGUGCGUGCAACCAAGCUGCUUAAGGCCUGCUCUGCUGGACAACCAUUACAAUCCACUGAUCUCCUGACUGGCAAGGAGGGUAGCAUACAGCAUACAGCACGUCAGUCAUUCUCCACAGUUCACCCAUCUCUACUGUUCCUGACGGGGAACAACAGUAUCCAUUCACCAGGUUCACAGGGCCAAGCUCAACACUGGAUUCAUGACCGCAUAGGGCUGGAAAAGUGAAUUACAUAUUUAUACACACAUCCAUAAAAACAAGUCGAAAGAAAGUCCACCUUACGGGCACUCUAUCCCACACAACAUUAGGCUACAUUAAACACCCUUUCAUUUCCCCUUAAUCACAAUUAGAAAAGGUAAGAGAAAGACUUAUGACAAGCCUAUUUGAUAACAAUGGUCGUUUUAAAGGAUUGUCCAUUUUACAAAAGACACCUCUCACAUAAUCCAGUACAGGGUCAAAGGUCAGGCAAUGGCUAUCCACCAGAGUCCUCUCACAUAAUCCAGUAUAGGGUCAAAGGUCAGGCAAUGGCUGUCCACCAGUCCUCUCACAUAAUCCGGUACAGGGUCAAAGGUCAAUGCUGUCUCAGCCUCCAGUAUCUAUGCUGCAGUAGUUUAUGUGUCGGGGGGCUAGGAUCAGUCUGUUAUAUCUGGAGUAUUUCUCCAGUCAUAUCCGCUGUUCUGUGUCAAUUUAAGUAUGCUCUCUCUAACUCUCUCUCUCUCUCUUUCUUUAUUUCUCUCUCUCAGAGGACCAUGCCUCAGGACUACCUGGCAUGAUGACUCCUUGCUGUCCCCUGUCCACCUGGGCGUGCUGCUGCUCCAGGUUCAACUGUUCUGACUGCGUCUAUGGAACCCUGACCUGUUCACCGGACGUGCUACCUGUCCCAGACCUGCUGUUUUCAACUCUCCAGAGACAGCAGGAGAGGUAGAGAUGAAUGGUCGGCUAUGAAAAGCCAACUGACAUCUACUCCUGAGGUGCUGACCUGUUGCACCCUCGACAUCCACUGUGAUUAUUAUUAUUUGACCAUGCUGGUCAUCUAGGAACAUUUGAACAUCUUGGCCAUGUUCUGUUAUAAUCUCCACCCGGCACAGCCAGAAGAGGACUGGCCACCCCACAUCGCCUGGUUCCUCUCUAGGUUUCUUCCUAGGUUCUGGCCUUUCUAGGGAGUUUUUCCUAGCCACUGUGUUUCUACACCUGCAUUGCUUGCUGUUUGGGGUUUUAGGCUGGGUUUCUGUACAGCACUUUGAGAUAUCAGCUGAUGUAUGAAGGGCUUUAUAAAUACAUUUGAUUUGAUUUGAAUGGCUAUCCGCCAGAGUCAAAGACUUAUUGAAAUUACACUGGAGACAAUGUUCCUGGUCUGUGGCACGACCACCUGAUGAGUUGUCUGUCGGUACACUGUUGUGAGGGUUGUUGAGCUGUCUGUCUGUACACUGAUGUGAGGGUUGUUGAGCUGUCUGUCUGUACACUGAUGUGAGGGUUGUUGAGCUGUCUGUCUGUACACUGAUGUGAGGGUUGUUGAGCUGUCUGUCUGUACACUGAUGUGAGGGUUGUUGAGCUGUCUGUCUGUACACUGAUGUGAGGGUUGUUGAGCUGUCUGUCUGUACACUGAUGUGAGGGUUGUUGAGCUGUCUGUCUGUACACUGAUGUGAGGGUUGUUGAGCUGUCUGUCUGUACACUGAUGUGAGGGUUGUUGAGCUGUCUGUCUGUACACUGAUGUGAGGGUUGUUGAGCUGUCUGUCUGUACACUGAUGUGAGGGUUGUUGAGUUGUCUGUCUGUACACUGAUGUGAGGGUUGUUGAGCUGUCUGUCUGUACACUGAUGUGAGGGUUGUUGAGCUGUCUGUCUGUACACUGAUGUGAGGGUUGUUGAGCUGUCUGUCUGUACACUGAUGUGAGGGUUGUUGAGCUGUCUGUCUGUACACUGAUGUGAGGGUUGUUGAGCUGUCUGUCUGUACACUGAUGUGAGGGUUGUUGAGCUGUCUGUCUGUACACUGAUGUGAGGGUUGUUGAGCUGUCUGUCUGUACACUGAUGUGAGGGUUGUUGAGCUGUCUGUCUGUACACUGAUGUGAGGGUUGUUGAGCUGUCUGUCUGUACACUGAUGUGAGGGUUGUUGAGCUGUCUGUCUGUACACUGAUGUGAGGGUUGUUGAGCUGUCUGUCUGUACACUGAUGUGAGGGUUGUUGAGCUGUCUGUCUGUACACUGAUGUGAGGGUUGUUGAGCUGUCUGUCUGUACACUGAUGUGAGGGUUGUUGAGCUGUCUGUCUGUACACUGAUGUGAGGGUUGCUCACAACAACACCGUGACUGCUACUAUAAAUGACUCCUGAAGAAAAAGCAUCAUGGAUGAUAACAAAAGACUACGAGUGAAAGAGGGAAAUGAACACAGAGAGUUAGUGGCUUGACGACUAUUUGUUGAUGCUCAGUAGGUCAGUUUAUUUGAGACAGGAAAUGCUCUGCUGUACCGCCUGCCAAACAGUUUAUGCGGUGUCAGAUUUCUCCAUCGCCCUCUGUGACGAACAAAGGGCCCCCCGCGAGGCUCCCGCAGCCUUGGCUAUUCAGA